rnacentral:rRNA from 1 species
GGGGGGAGCAAGCGUUGUUCGGAUUUACUGGGCGUAAAGGGCGCGUAGGCGGCCACCGCAAGUCGGUUGUGAAAUCUCCGGGCUUAACCCGGAAAGGUCAACCGAUACUGCGGGGCUAGAGUGCAGAAGGGGCAACCGGAAUUCUCGGUGUAGCGGUGAAAUGCGUAGAUAUCGAGAGGAACACCUGCGGCGAAGGCGGGUUGCCGGGCUGACACUGACGCUGAGGCGCGAAAGCUAGGGGAGCGAACGGGAUUAGAUACCCCGGUAGUCCUAGCCUUAAACGAUGAAUGCUUGGUGUCUGGGGUUACAUAGUCCCCGGGUGCCGUCGCUAACGCUUUAAGCAUUCCGCCUGGGGAGUACGGUCGCAAGACUG